rnacentral:misc_RNA from 1 species
GAUGAAGAACGUAGCGAAAUGCGAUAACUAAUGUGAAUUGCAGAAUUCAGUGAAUCAUCGAGUCUUUGAACGCACAUUGCGCCCCCUGGUAUUCCGGGGGGCAUGCCUGUCCGAGCGUCAUUGCUGCCCUCAAGCACGGCUUGUGUGUUGGGCCCCGUCCCCGGUACCCCCGGGGACGGGCCCGAAAGGCAGCGGCGGCACCGCGUCCGGUCCUCGAGCGUAUGGGGCUUUGUCACCCGCUCCGCAGGCCCGGCCGGCGCCAGCCGACCAACCCAACCAUUUUCUACAGGUUGACCUCGGAUCAGGUAGGGAUACCCGCUGAACUUAAGCAUAUCAAUAAGCGGAGGA